CUGCUAUCAGAGUGGGACUAAGCCAUGCGAGUUAACGUAGCAAUACGUGGCAUACGGCUCAGUAACACGUGGUCAACAUACCCAGAGGACGUGGAUAACCUCGGGAAACUGAGGAUAAACCGCGAUAGACCAUAAUGUCUGGAAUGAUUUAUGGUUCAAAUCUACAUGGCCUCUGGAUUGGACUGCGGCCGAUCAGGCUGUUGGUGAGGUAAUGGCCCACCAAACCUGAAACCGGUACGGGCUCUGAGAGGAGAAGCCCGGAGAUGGGCACUGAGACAAGGGCCCAGGCCCUAUGGGGCGCAGCAGGCGCGAAAUCUUUGCAAUAGGCGAAAGCCUGACAAGGUUACUCUGAGUGAUCUCCGCUAAGGAAAUCUUUUGACACCUCUAAAAAUGGUGUAGAAUAAGGGGUGGGCAAGCCUGGUGUCAGCCGCCGCGGUAAUACCAGCACCCCGAGUGGUCGGGACGAUUAUUGGGCCUAAAGCAUCCGUAGCCGGUUCCUUAAGUCCUCCGUUAAAUCCACCUGCUUAACAGAUGGGCUGCGGAGGAUACUAUAGAGCUAGGAGGCGGGAGAGGCAAGCGGUACUCAGUGGGUAGGGGUAAAAUCCGUUGAUCCAUUGAAGACCACCAGUGGCGAAGGCGGCUUGCCAGAACGCGCUCGACGGUGAGGGAUGAAAGCUGGGGGAGCAAACCGGAUUAGAUACCCGGGUAGUCCCAGCUGUAAACGAUGCAGACUCGGUGAUGAACAGGCUUCGUGCCUGUUCAGUGCCGCAGGGAAGCCGUUAAGUCUGCCGCCUGGGGAGUACGGUCGCAAGACU
rnacentral:rRNA from 1 species